UCUGGGUGUGGUGGCACGUGCCUUAUAGUCCCGGCUACUCAAGAGGCUGAGACAGGAGGAUCACUUGAGCCCAGGAGUUCUGGGCUGUAAUGCACUAUGCUGAUUGGGUGUCUGCAUUAAGUUCAGUAUCAAUAUGGUGAUCUUCUGGGAGCAGGGGGCCACCAGGUUGCCUAAGGAGCGGUGAAUUGGCCCAGGUUGGAAACAGAGCAGGUCAAAACUCCUGUGCUGAUCGGUAGUGGGAUCAUGCCUGUGAAUAGCUACUGUGCUCCCACCUGGGCAACAUAGUGAGACCUCUAUC
rnacentral:SRP_RNA from 10 species